rnacentral:rRNA from 1 species
UAAGGAAUAUUGGACAAUGGGCGCAAGCCUGAUCCAGCCAUCCCGCGUGCAGGAAGACGGCCCUAUGGGUUGUAAACUGCUUUUGUACAGGAAGAAACCCCUUGAUUUAUUGGGGGCUGACGGUACUGUAAGAAUAAGCACCGGCUAACUCCGUGCCAGCAGCCGCGGUAAUACGGAGGGUGCAAGCGUUAUCCGGAAUCACUGGGUUUAAAGGGUGCGUAGGUGGAUAGAUAAGUCAGAGGUGAAAGGCUUGAGCUUAACUGAAGAAUUGCCUUUGAUACUGUUUAUCUUGAAUUAGGUUGAGGUUAGCGGAAUGAGUCAUGUAGCGGUGAAAUGCAUAGAUAUGACUUAGAACACCAAUUGCGAAGGCAGCUAGCUAGGCCUAUAUUGACGCUGAGGCACGAAAGCAUGGGGAGCGAACAGGAUUAGAUACCCCCGUAGUCC